GUUAGAGUAAAGGGGGCGGGACGGCAUGGCGGCCAAGAUUCUUAAGUAUGCAGCAGUUCCUGCUGCUGGUGCUGUUGUGGGUUUGGGCUCCAUCAAAAUUUAUACCAUGAGUGAAAACAACAGCGAGGAGCUUAUCUCACCAAGAGAGUUGUCUAUCUACUCCCCAGAUCGUCCUGCUGUGCAGUUCAUGAAAGAGCAACCUGGUCUCCUGCAGACGGGGCUAGGGGUUGUGAGGGUGGGCCUGCAGCCGUAUGUCAGAGCUGUGCAGAGCGGUUUCACUUCUGUCAAAGUUGGAGUUAUAUCUGUUUACCAGGCAGGGGAAGACACAUACCACUUUCUUCGAGAUCCACCGCCUGGCUUCCUGCCUAGAGUGAGUGUCAUCGCUGUGUCUGGAUUGGGUGGCCUCAUUCUGGCACGCAAGGGCUCUCGUUUAAAGAGGAUUGUUGUACCUCUUGGUCUGGCUACCAUUGGUACUGCAGUGUGUUACCCCACACAGACUGUUGGAGUCCUUAAGAUCACUGGGAAAAAGGUGUACACUAUCAGUUCAUCUAUUGCCUCAGUGUUUAAAUCUAAACCAAAGGAAGACAUCAUCAUGCCUGCUGUUAGUGUGGAGUCAGCUGUGCCUGAAACUAAAGCACUUCCUGAACUCAUACCCGAGUCUGAGCUGGCACCUGCUGUUUUAAUUGAGGAAGUUGCAUCAAUAGCGGAAGUUGCCCCAGCAGCUGCUUCUGCUCCAGUAGCUGAUGUUGUGACAGAAGUUGCCUCAAAUGAAUCUGUCUCUGUGCCAGAAGUUGCAGAACUACCUUCUGUUGUUGUAGCAUCUAAAAUGGUCUCGCCCUCUGAACCUGAAACUACCCCAGAUACAGAAAUUGCCACUACAGAUAUUACCCCUGAACCUGCUCUUGAAACUGCCUCAGCAACAGAAUCCACCCAUGAGUCUGUUGUUAAACCGGACCCAAAUGCAGAUAUAAUCCUUGAACCUGCUCUUCAAACCGCCUCCGUUGCUGAAACCACCCCUGAGCAAUUUGCUGAAACUACCCAAGCAGCAGAAAUCACACCUGAAUCUGCCCCCAAGUCUGUAGUAGAAGUUGCCCCAGCUGCAGUAACCACCUCUGAACCUCCUCUUCCAGAGCCUAUAGUUGAAACUGCCCCCGAGGCAACACCUGAUGACUAUAUUGUGGACAAUGCUCCUCAAUCUACCCAUGAGCCAACAACUAUUGCUGAAACUUUCCAAGAAGCUGAUGUUAGUCCUGUUAUGGAAGCUGCCCCUGCUAGUCCAGAACUUGAAGUCCCUGCACCCACAAUUGAAGAAACAUUACCCCCUACCCUAACUGAAGAUCCUACCCCACCUACAGUAGAUGAGGAACCUGCUUCCAUCACCUUGCACCCUGUUGAAGAAGCCAUUCUGCUUGAACCUCUCCCUUCUGUUGUCAACCAAUCAACAGCUGAAGAGGUCCCAGUCCCUGUUCAAGAGGCCACACCCCCUUCCCCCACAGUUAAAGAACCUCCUGUAGAACAGACUAUUGUUGAGUCAGCCAAAGUUUUUUUGAUCAACAAAUGACUGUAGAGAACAGAAAGGGUAUUAAGAGACAUUAUGGUCGCGUGGAUCUCGUCUUUGGACACGCAUUACACGGAACAACUUUUACUCUCAACAGUGAAAGGAUCUCGCCACUGAAUACCACUAAGCUACACAAUUACUGUGAAAAAACGCUUUGUUCCGAACCCUGCUCUACUCGAUCAUGGCCAGGCUAAUCCAGAGGAUGCAGACAUGUACAGCACACGCAGCUGAAAGAUAAAGAUGGAGGAAAGAGUUCACGGAAAUGGGGGGGGGGAGCAGAAUGUUAUGACAUUUUAAGGAUGUGCCAUGAUUCCAGCACUGGUUGAUUGUGAUUCAGAUGAUCAUGCUUUACCAAUGAUGCAGGGAUGUGGAAGUUACUGUUAUGUGAUUCUUUUCUUUGUGACGUCUCAAUCUUCAGAAGUUUCUUACCUCAACAGCAGGGAUAUCAAACACACAGGGUGAUAUUUGUGUUAACUCACUUUAUUUACUUUGUGUUUAGUACCUCUUUCUCAGCAUGACACUACGGAGGAAUAUUAUAAUCUGAGGAAACUCCAGGGUUAUUUUAAUAACUCUGUGGUCCCAUAGUCUCCUCUCCAAGUUUAUCAUUCUGAUCUUAUUUCCUGUAGGAACAGAAAGCUUGUGCUAAUUUUGUGCUGUGAAAAAAAUAUUACAUUAGAAACUGGACCACACCAAAAACUUAUUUUACAUGAACAAAAACAUUGGUAGUAUGUAUUUUCUAAAAUACAUUUUACUGGGGUAACACAAUAUUGACGCAAUCUUUUAGUCAGACUGUGAAUUUAUUUAAUAAUUGAAAAAGUAUUACUAAUAUGAAUAUAAUAAAAUAAUCUUUGUAGUUAUGUCUGUCAAAGAGUUCUAAAGCAAUUACAAAAAGGUAUACCAUUAAAGUUUCAAAAAGUCAGACACAAGACUCCUUGAUAAAUGCUUUUCAGUUGUGGGAUGUACUGACCAGCAUAGUUUUGGACACAGUAUAUAAGUAUUUCAUUUUUUUAUCUUACGAAACUUUAUGGCCUAUCACGCCUUUGUGCAAUAGAGGAGCAUCAGAUGAAAAAAAUAAACUGAUUUAAACAAUA